AUUGAACGCUGGCGGCAGGCUUAACACAUGCAAGUCGAGCGGGGGAAGGUAGCUUGCUACCGGACCUAGCGGCGGACGGGUGAGUAAUGCUUAGGAAUCUGCCUAUUAGAGGGGGACAACAUCUCGAAAGGGACGCUAAUACCGCAUACGUCCUACGGGAGAAAGCAGGGGAUCUUCGGACCUUGCGCUAAUAGAUGAGCCUAAGUCGGAUUAGCUAGUUGGUGGGGUAAAGGCCUACCAAGGCGACGAUCUGUAGCGGGUCUGAGAGGAUGAUCCGCCACACUGGGACUGAGACACGGCCCAGACUCCUACAGGAGGCAGCAGUGGGGAAUAUUGGACAAUGGGGGGAACCCUGAUCCAGCCAUGCCGCGUGUGUGAAGAAGGCCUUAUGGUUGUAAAGCACUUUAAGCGAGGAGGAGGCUACUCUAGUUAAUACCUAGGGAUAGUGGACGUUACUCGCAGAAUAAGCACCGGCUAACUCUGUGCCAGCCGCCGCAGUAA
rnacentral:rRNA from 1 species